ensembl:lncRNA
CUGUAGGACCACGAAUCCUUAACCAGACAAAACGGAUACAGAGAGAGAGAGAGAAUGUUGGGGGGAUAGAUAUUUAUAGAGAGAGAGAGAGAAUGUUGGGGGGAUAGAUAUUUAUAGAGAGAGAGAGCGAGGGAUAGAGAGCUGACUCAAGACUGCUGGAGGGAGGUGGCCGGAAGCUGUGGGACCAGAGAAGAGAGAGCUGGAGCGGCUUUCGUACACCUCCUUCACGGAGCGAGGGAACAUAGCAUCACACUGAGGGAGGAGGAGAAGAAGGAGCCAGGAGAGAGAGGAGGAGGAGCUGACAUCAUCCACUGUGCCCACCUGCUGAAGACAUGGGCACGCAGCAGACAUCGUGUGUGUGGCAGUGUAUUAGUGCCACUUGAUGGGAUCAGUUACAUUAAUGGGCUGGUUUGUGCGAUCGAACAGGAGAGAGGAGAGAAGAGAUGGGCGCCUGUCAACGAGAGACUGAAAUAAGAUGGAGUGACAAUGAGUGAGAGGGAUGAGAUGGGAGCGCUAGAGAGAACAUGAGGCUGUUAGAGAGUAAUGUGAUGAGAAGGGAGGGAGAGAGAGAGGGAUGUGAUGAGAUAGAAGAGCUCUCCUCUGCAGUGCAUGUUAUCUAAUAUACCCCCCUCCCCUGUGAAACAGAUUUUACAGAGAGACAGAGGGGUAAAGAGAGAGGAGUAGAGAUAAACAGAGAGAGAGGAGUAGAGGGAAGCAGAGAGAGAGGAGUAGAGAUAAACAGAGAGAGGAGAGUAGAGAUAAACAGAGAGAGAGGAGUAGAGGGAAGCAGAGAGAGAGGAGUAGAGAUAAACAGAGAGAGAGGAGUAGAGAUAAACAGAGAGAGAGGAGUAGAGAUAAACAGAGAGAGAGAAGUAGAGGGAAGCAGGGUUUGACAGCAACAAGAUCUCAUAGUUUCCCUUUGAAAUUCCACGUCAAUUCUGCGGGGUUCAUUGUUCGUGGUUACAAGGUUCAUUGUGCGUGGUUACAGGGUUCAUUCUGUGUGGUUACAGGGUUCAUUCUGCGGGGUUACAGGGUUCAUUGUGCGUGGUUACAGGGUUCAUUCUGUGUGGUUACAG